rnacentral:rRNA from 1 species
GGCGAACGGGUGAGUAACACGUGAGUAACCUGCCCUUGACUUUGGGAUAACUUCAGGAAACUGGGGCUAAUACCGGAUAGGAGCUCCUGCUGCAUGGUGGGGGUUGGAAAGUUUCGGCGGUUGGGGAUGGACUCGCGGCUUAUCAGCUUGUUGGUGGGGUGAUGGCCUACCAAGGCGACGACGGGUAGCCGGCCUGAGAGGGUGAUCGGCCACAUUGGGACUGAGAUACGGCUCAG